rfam:Triticum aestivum genome assembly, contig: Triticum_aestivum_CS42_TGACv1_scaffold_436104_5DL
UGGCGGCCGUUGAGACGAGAUCUCCCCAUACCACAUAGCGGCAGCUCGGCUCCGUGCACGCGUAUGGGGAGAUCUCGCCUCAACAGCCGCUC